CCUACGGGUGGCAGCAGUGAGGAAUAUUUGUCAAUGGGCGCGAGCCUGAACCAGCCAAGUAGCGUGAAGGAUGCCUGCCCUACGGGUUGUACACUUCUUUUAUAAAGGAAUAAAGUGAGGCACGUUUGCCUUUUUGUAUGUACUUUAUGAAUAAGGAUCGGCUAACUCCGUGCCAGCAGCCACGGUAAUACGGAGGAUCCGAGCGUUAUCCGGAUUUAUUGGGUUUAAAGGGAGAGUAGAUGGGUUGUUAAGUCAGUUGUGAAAGUUUGCGGCUCAACCGUAAAAUUGCCAUUGAUACUGGCAGUCUUGAGUACAGUUGAGGUAGGCGGAAUUCGUGGGGUAGCGGUGAAAUGCUUAGAUAUCACGAAGACCUCCGAUUGCGAAGGCAGCUUACUAAACUGCCACUGACAUUGAUGCUCGAAAGUGUGGGUAUCAAACAGGAGUAGAUACCCGAGUAGUC
rnacentral:rRNA from 1 species